rnacentral:rRNA from 1 species
AUAUUAACCGAAACUUAUGUGGAAACCCCAGUCUCAUCUGAUUUUGGAAGCUGGUCAGGGUUGGGCUUGGUUGGUAUUCAGACGGGAGACUGCCAGGAAAUGCUGGGUGCCAUAUU